GUAGGGAAUCUUGCGCAAUGGGCGAAAGCCUGACGCAGCCAUGCCGCGUGAAUGAUGAAGGUCUUAGGAUUGUAAAAUUCUUUCACCGGGGACGAUAAUGACGGUACCCGGAGAAGAAGCCCCGGCUAACUUCGUGCCAGCAGCCGCGGUAAUACGAAGGGGGCUAGCGUUGCUCGGAAUUACUGGGCGUAAAGGGAGCGUAGGCGGAUAGUUUAGUCAGAGGUGAAAGCCCAGGGCGCAAACUUGGAAUUGCCUUUGAUACUGGCUAUCUUGAGUAUGGAAGAGGUAUGUGGAACUCCGAGUGUAGAGGUGAAAUUCGUAGAUAUUCGGAAGAACACCAGUGGCGAAGGCGACAUACUGGUCCAUUACUGACGCUGAGGCUCGAAAGCGUGGGGAGCAAACAGGAUUAGAUACCCUAGUAGUCC
rnacentral:rRNA from 1 species